rnacentral:rRNA from 1 species
CAUAAUUUUUUGUGGUGCAUUUACUUGAUUGGUGCUUGGGGAUGUUUGAGGCAGAUUUGUUUCCGCCGUUUUGAGGCCAGCUUGCUGGUACCCAAACGGUGUUAGCAUUUUUUGUCUUGGGCAUUUGAGUAUGGCUCACGGGUAUUUAUUGGACCGAUCUGAGUGUAAGUUACGGUCGCAUGCGACACGUGCUUUUCAAUUAGUUCGGUCCAGUUAAUGCUCUCGUACUCGUUCCCCAUGUAAAAGCCGGUCAUCUAUCCGACCCGUCUUGAAACACGGACCAAGGAGUUUAUCGUGUGCGCAAGUUUUUGGGUGUUAAAAACUUAAAAGCGAAAUGAAAGUAAAUGUCUCUUUAGAGUCUGAUGUGCGAUCUUGUAAAAAAGUGUAGCAUGGCCCCAUUCUAACUGUUUACAGUAGGGUGGCGGAAGAGCGUACGCGGUGAGACCCGAAAGAUGGUGAACUAUUCCUGAGCAGGACGAAGCCAGAGGAAACUCUGGUGGAAGUCCGAAGCGGUUCUGACGUGCAAAUCGAUCGUCUGACUUGGGUAUAGGGGCGAAAGACUAAUCGAACCAUCUAGUA